CAGAUACGGGAUUGUAAUGUUUGGUGGUGUUGAUGGCUUUUCAAGAAAGAUCCUGUACCUGAACACAGCUAACAACAACAAGGCAUCUACAGCUCUGGAGUUCUUCCUUAAAGCUGUAGAGAAUUACGGCUGUCCAUCUCGUGUGAGAGGAGAUCAAGGAGUUGGGAAUGUGGACGUUGCUCGAUACAUGUUUGAUGUUCGAGGCUGUGGAAGAGGAAGCUUUAUGUCU